rnacentral:ribozyme from 1 species
UGAGGAGGAAGCCCCCGCCGCCGCCAAGAAGCCUGCUGCUGCUAAGGCAGCUGCUGAGGAGUCCAGUGACAGCGACAGUGAUGAUGAGGAGGAGGAAGCCCCCAAGAAGGUCAAGGCUGCUGCCGUCGCUGAGGAGGAGGAUGAUGAGAGUGAGGAUUCUGAUGACGAUAUGGAGGAAGCUGCCAGUGGCAAGCGUGCCGCUUCUGAGGCUACCACUGAGGAGGACGAGGCGCCUGCUCAGAAGAAGGCCAAACUGAA